rnacentral:ribozyme from 1 species
UGCCCAGUAACUCCUAUCCAUACCUCCUCGCGGUACUGGCCGGGGAAGAUCGAGUAACCAACCCCGGUGGGAACUUUGGUCGUAUGCUGACAGAGAAGG